CCCUUAGAUGUUCUGGGCAGCACGCGCGCUACAAUGGUCUUCGCAAACGGAUGCAUUCUCGAAGGAGAAUGCCAAUCUUGGAAUCUAUGCCUUGGUCGGGACAGUUGCUUGCAAUUUUUCGACUCGAACCAGGAAUUCCUUGUAAUCGUGAUUCAUCACAUCACGAUGAAUACGUCCCUGCCCUUUGUACACACCGCCCGUCGCUCCUACCGAUCGAAGAGUUAGGUGAAUUGUUUUGAUCGAUAAGAUUUGACUAUGGUCAACUCUCGUUGUGAAAUUCUGUGAAUCUGACUGUUUAGAGGAAGGAAAGGUCGUAACA
rnacentral:rRNA from 1 species